AUGCCGUGGUGUGUGCAUGCCUGAAUGUAUUCCUGCAGAUGCUCCCAGGCUUCUGGGAUGGUCUCAUACGGUAGUUGCUGAAUACCGGAGAUUCUGUUCCUGAGGGC